GAUCAAGUUCAUUAUUGAAUUAUUAUGUCUCACCCAGACUAAGAAGCCUUAAAUUUCUUUUUAUUUCCUAAUAUUCUUUACUUAAAAAAAAAUGAUUCUUUUAAUAGUAUUGCAAUAUGCAUUUCUUCCAUGUAUUAUUUUUUAUGUAUGUUCUGGAACAAUAAAGCAGCAUUUGUCAGCAAACAUUCAUAUGCUUGCUGCUACCUCUGCCUUCUUUUCAGGACUAAAAUCAUCCAGAGAUAAUGGACUCCAGGGAGAAAGUAAACAAAUUAUCCAGGAACAACACUAUUCUUCAGAGCAGGUUGGCAGCAUGGAUUCUACGUUCCAGACCAACCAAGUCAUUUGUCCGAGGAAGCCACACAAUUUGAAGAUGAUUGUGGUAGUGCUAAUGACAAAGAGGCAAGUCAAAAAACAUCAAUUCUCCAACAAAUGGACAAUCUAUCCUUUGAACCUAUGAGUUUACACUAUUACAAAAGCUCUGCUAGCUGUCUGUGGGUGUAAGUUUCAAAGAAUGAACUCCCAUCUUACAAAAAAUGACAAGGAUAUUUCCACGUACGACAAUGAAGAUUAGGAUACUAUUAAAAGGAAAGCAGUCUUCUGUCAAAUAGAGAUCCAGAUUUUUAAGUAGCUGCUUUUGGGAACUACUACGAUGGAAGACUUGCUGAGUUGCCUUCAGAUGUUAAGCCUGUCUGCCUGAUGCUUCACCAAACUGUUCCGAAAUGCCUUCCUUCUUAGCCUUUCUAAUUCCUUCUGAUAGCUAUACUGGUAUUCCAGAUAUUUUAUGUUCAUCUUCUGCUUACCCAUGAACCUCCCAAACACCAAGCAAAGAAGAAUUCUUGAAUACAAUGCCAUGUGUCUAAGUGAACCAGACUUUGUUCUCAGUUUGUUUAAACUUCCUUUAAGUUAUACUCAGCUUGAUUUUUUCCCUACCUGGCCAUAGCAUAGCUUCUCUUAUGUGAUGGUUGCCCAUGUCUAUGCAAAAAUGCUGUAAAAGUUCAGACUUAUUCAAAAUCAUAAAAGAGAACCCCAUUUGAGCUCUCUGUAACAAAAGAUGGUGGGUUUCGGUGGUUGAUUGUUAUAAACUCUUUUAAAAAGAGAAGAGAUAUUAUCAGGCUUGGGGAAAGAAUUAGAGUAAUACACUUUAUACAGAAUAGUAAUUCUUUCCUCUCUUGAUUUUCCCUCUUCUAAUUCUUGGCUUCAUUCUUCCAUCUGUGUGUGCCAACUUUCCUUUAUCUUAGUCCACAUGGUAGAUAGGGAUUAUUCAUAGUUUUACUUAUAUUCCUUCAUUCACAAUAUAGUGAGGGUUCUUGAUUGAACUUGAAAUUCCUACAAGAGGGCCGCUUAUUGAUAAAUACUAGUUGGGCUCUCAAAUUGAGCCAAUCAAUUACGGCCAAGGAGGCAGUUGGGCUAAAACAGCAUGGCUAGAUAAACACACAUGCACACACAAUACUGUUGGAUUUUGAUGAUAAUAGCA
rnacentral:lncRNA from 12 species